GAGUGAACGCUGGCGGUAGGCCUAACACAUGCAAGUCGAACGGCAGCACAGUAAGAGCUUGCUCUUACGGGUGGCGAGUGGCGGACGGGUGAGGAAUACAUCGGAAUCUACUUUUUCGUGGGGGAUAACGUAGGGAAACUUACGCUAAUACCGCAUACGACCUACGGGUGAAAGCAGGGGAUCUUCGGACCUUGCGCGAUUGAAUGAGCCGAUGUCGGAUUAGCUAGUUGGCGGGGUAAAGGCCCACCAAGGCGACGAUCCGUAGCUGGUCUGAGAGGAUGAUCAGCCACACUGGAACUGAGACACGGCCCAGACUCCUACGGGAGGCAGCAGUGGGGAAUAUUGGACAAUGGGCGCAAGCCUGAUCCAGCCAUACCGCGUGGGUGAAGAAGGCCUUCGGGUUGUAAAGCCCUUUUGUUGGGAAAGAAAAGCAGCAGGUUAAUACCCCGCUGUUCUGACGGUACCCAAAGAAUAAGCACCGGCUAACUUCGUG
rnacentral:rRNA from 1 species